rnacentral:tRNA from 1 species
UGGGCUGUGGCGAAAUUGGUUAGACGCACUGCGUUUUGACCGCAGGUUUUGUGGGUUCAAGUCCCACCAGCCUAG